GUGGGGAAUCUUCCGCAAUGGGCGAAAGCCUGACGGAGCAACGCCGCGUGAGUGAUGACGGCCUUCGGGUUGUAAAGCUCUGUUAUAUGGGACGAACGGGCAUGGGGCGAAUACCCCCAUGCAGUGACGGUACCGUAAGAGAAAGCCACGGCUAACUACGUGCCAGCAGCCGCGGUAAUACGUAGGUGGCAAGCGUUGUCCGGAAUUAUUGGGCGUAAAGGGCGUGUAGGCGGCCAGACAAGUCUGUCUUAAAAGUGCGGGGCUCAACCCCGUGAUGGGAUGGAAACUGUCGGGCUAGAGUGUCGGAGAGGAAAGCGGAAUUCCUAGUGUAGCGGUGAAAUGCGUAGAUAUUAGGAGGAACACCAGUGGCGAAAGCGGCUUUCUGGACGACAACUGACGCUGAGGCGCGAAAGCCAGGGGAGCAAACGGGAUUAGAAACCCCAGUAGUCC
rnacentral:rRNA from 1 species